GUACGCGAGCUGGGUUCAGAACGUCGUGAGACAGUUCGGUCCCUAUCCAUCGCGGGCGCAAGAAACUUGAAGGGGGCUGCUCCUAGUACGAGAGGACCGGAGUGGACGAACCGCUGGUGUACCGGUUGUAACGCCAGUUGCAUAGCCGGGUAGCUAAGUUCGGAAGAGAUAAGCGCUGAAAGCAUCUAAGCGCGAAACUCGCCUGAAGAUGAGACUUCCCUUGUGGUUUAACCACACUAAAGAGUCGUUCGAGACCAGGACGUUGAUAGGUGGGGUGUGGAAGCGCGGUAACGCGUGAAGCUAACCCAUACUAAUUGCUCGUGAGGCUUGACUCUAU
rnacentral:rRNA from 1 species